GAUGAACGCUGGCGGCGUGCCUAACACAUGCAAGUCGAGCGAGGGGAGGUAGCUUGCUACCAAUCCUAGCGGCGGACGGGUGAGUAACGCGUGGGCAACCUGCCCUGUACAGGGGAAUAACAGCGGGAAACCGUUGCUAAUACCCCAUAAAACUUUUAAGAGGCAUCUUUUAAACGUCAAAGAACUUCGGUACAGGAUGGGCCCGCGUCUGAUUAGCUAGUUGGUGGGGUAAAGCCUACCAAGGCGACGAUCAGUAGCCGACCUGAGAGGGUGAUCGGCCACACUGGAACUGAGACACGGUCCAGACUCCUACGGGUGGCUG
rnacentral:rRNA from 1 species